rnacentral:rRNA from 1 species
GACGAACGCUGGCGGCGUGCUUAACACAUGCAAGUCGAGCGGUAAGGCCCUUCGGGGUACACGAGCGGCGAACGGGUGAGUAACACGUGGGUGACCUGCCCUCCACUCUGGGAUAAGCCUGGGAAACCGGGUCUAAUACCGGAUAGGACUCCUGGAUGCAUGUCUAGGGGUGGAAAGUUUUUUCGGUGGGGAUGGGCCCGCGGUCUAUCAGCUUGUUGGUGGGGUGAUGGCCUACCAAGGCGACGACGGAUAGCCGGCCUGAGAGGGUGAUCGGCCACACUGGGACUGAGACACGGCCCAGACUCCUACGGGAGGCAGCAGUGGGGAAUCUUGCGCAAUGGGGCGGAAGCCUGACGCAGCAACGCCGCGUGGGGGAUGACGGCC